UUCGAAGCAACGCGAAGAACCUUUACCAGGUCUUGUACAUCCCGAUGCUAUUUCUAGAGAUAGAAAGUUACUUCGGUACAUCGGUGACAGGUGGUGCAUGGUUGUCGUCAGCUCGUGUCGUGAGAUGUUGGGUUAAGUCCCGCAACGAGCGCAACCCCUAUUGUUAGUUGCCAUCAUUCAGUUGGGCACUCUAGCGAGACUGCCGGUAAUAAACCGGAGGAAGGUGGGGAUGACGUCAAAUCAUCAUGCCCCUUAUGACCUGGGCUACACACGUGCUACAAUGGUUGGUACAACGAGUUGCGAGUCGGUGACGGCGAGCUAAUCUCUUAAAGCCAAUCUCAGUUCGGAUUGUAGGCUGCAACUCGCCUACAUGAAGUCGGAAUCGCUAGUAAUCGCGGAUCAGCACGCCGCGGUGAAUACGUUCCCGGGCCUU
rnacentral:rRNA from 1 species